UUAAGUUCAGCGGGUAGUCCUACCUGAUUUGAGGUCAGAGCAAAAAAUGUCAGAAGACAGGUUAUGAGCAGCCUUUGAUCUUGGCCAGCGAAACUUAUUACGCCAGAUUCAAUCUUAGAACCACUAACACUUUUAAGGCGAGCCAAGACGGCAACACCCAAAUCCAUCGUCAUCGGAAACCCGAUGGGAUGAUGUUUUCA
rnacentral:misc_RNA from 1 species